rnacentral:tRNA from 1 species
AGGAUUUAAGUUAACUAAAACUAGUAACCUUCAAAGUUACCAAUAUAGACCCCCCCCCUUUAAGCCUUAC